UACGUAGGGGGCAAGCGUUGUCCGGAAUCAUUGGGCGUAAAGAGCGUGUAGGCGGUCCGGUAAGUCCGCUGUGAAAGUCGGGGGCUCAACCCUCGAAUGCCGGUGGAUACUGUCGGGCUAGAGUGCGGAAGAGGCGAGUGGAAUUCCUGGGUGUAGCGGUGAAAUGCGCAGAUAUCAGGAGGAACACCGGUGGCGAAGGCGGGUCUCUGGGCAACAACUGACGCUGGAGGAGCGAAAGCGUGGGGAGCGAACAGG
rnacentral:rRNA from 1 species